CGCUCGCAGUAUGCUUAUAGAAAGAUUAAGUCUUUGUUUGAAGCACAAUAACUAAAUUUUAUUUAUUGUGAUUCAAGCCUAGACCUUACAAGGAAAUCGGUAACCAGACCAGAGGAUCCUCGAUUCGAUGUUCUUUCUGGGAAAAUUCGAACCCCACUUUGCCAUAGGAAUUGUUGUUCUCUCCAGCACAUUUCCCGGUGGACGCCGCUGUUCCUGCAUUAUAACCGCCAGAUCGUCAUGGAAGGUAUUCGAAAAUUCAUAUGCAUGAAUUUUGCUGUCCGGUUGAAAGAGAGCCAUGAUGCUGAGACGGAAAAAAAAUUAGAAAAUCGAUUAAGUAGAGACAA